AAAGGUUUUGGGAAAGCCUGCCGGAGAGGGUGAAAGCCCCGUAAGCGAAAGGAAAGCCAGCUGAGCGGUAUCCAGAGUACAUCGAGACACGAGAAACCUUGAUGGAAUGAGCGGGGACCACCCCGUAAGCCUAAAUACUCCUUAGUGACCGAUAGCGCAUAGUACUGUGAAGGAAAGGUGAAAAGGACCCCGGGAGGGGAGUGAAAGAGAACCUGAAACCCUGUGUUUACAAGCUGUGGGACAUCUUUACAUGAUGAACCGCGUACUUUUUGUAGAACGGUCCGGCGAGUUGCGGAUGCCGGCAAGGUUAAGCACUUAAGGUGUGGAGCCGAAGGGAAACCAAGUCUGAAGAGGGCGCAUAUAGUCAGUAUCCGCAGACCCGAAACCGGGUGAUCUACCCAUGUCCAGGUUGAAGUUGCCGUAAAAGGCAAUGGAGGACCGAACGCACAUCCGUUGAAAAGGGUGGCGAUGAGGUGUGGGUAGGGGAGAAAUUCCAAUCGAACCCGGAGAUAGCUGGUUCUCCUCGAAAUAGCUUUAGGGCUAGCCUCGUAUUAGUCUGGUGGAGGUAGAGCACUGAAUUUCCUAGGGGGCGUCAAAGCCUACCGAAGAAUAUCAAACUGCGAAUGGCGGACAGAUGAUGCCAGGGAGUCAGACUGCACGAGAUAAGUUGGGUGGUCAAAAGGGAAAGAGCCCAGACCUACAGCUAAGGUCCCAAAGUGCGUGUUAAGUGGAAAAGGAUGUGGGAUUUCGAAGACAACUAGGAUGUUGGCUCAGAAGCAGCCAUACAUUCAAAGAGUGCGUAACAGCUCACUAGUCGAGAGGUCCUGCGCCGAAAAUGUCCGGGGCUGAAACACAACACCGAAGCUGCGGAAUUGCGAAUGCAAUUGGUAGAGGAGCAUUCUUAAUACCGACGAAGCUGUACCGGAAGGAGCAGUGGAGGGAUAAGAAGAGAGAAUGCCGGAAUGAGUAGCGAGAGAGAGGUGGGAAUCCUCUCGGCCGAAUAUCCAAGGUUUCCAGAGUAAAGCUGAUCUGCUCUGGGUAAGUCGGGGCCUAAGGCGAGGUCAAAAGACGUAGCCGAUGGACAACAGGUUUAGAUUCCUGUACCGCAUAUAAACAGAACUGUGGGGACGCAUGGGGAGAGCAUGGGCCGGGAAUGGAAAUACCGGUGCAAGCGAAGGAGGUGUGCAGCCGGCAAAUCCGCUGCAUGAGCCGAAAGCGUGACGCGGAGCGAAAUGAAAGUAGCGAAGCAUGUGAGCCCUGUGCCGAGAAAAGCCGCUAUUGUUUUAUAUGUGCCCGUACCGUAAACCGACACAGGUGGAUGAGGAGAGAAUCCUAAGGCCGGCGGAAGAAGUAUUGUUAAGGAACUCGGCAAAAUGACCCCGUAACUUCGGGAGAAGGGGUGCCCACGGGAGUGGGCCGCAGAGAAUAGGCUCAAGCAACUGUUUAGCAAAAACACAGGUCUAUGCGAAACCGAAAGGUGAGGUAUAUGGGCUGACGCCUGCCCGGUGCUGGAAGGUUAAGAGGAGAGGUUAGCGCAAGCGAAGCUUUGAAUUUAAGCCCCAGUAAACGGCGGCCGUAACUAUAACGGUCCUAAGGUAGCGAAAUUCCUUGUCGGGUAAGUUCCGACCCGCACGAAAGGCGUAAUGAUUUGAGCACUGUCUCGACAAUGCAUCCGGUGAAAUUGAAGUACCAGUGAAGAUGCUGGUUACCCGCGCCAGGACGGAAAGACCCCAUGGAGCUUUACUCCAGUUUGGUACUGGGAUUCGGUACUGCACGUACAGGAUAGGUGGGAGACUAAGAAACUUGAACGCCAGUUUGAGUGGAGUCGCUGUUGGGAUACCACCCCUGCAGUAUUGGAUUUCUAACCAGUCACCGUGAUCCGGUGAUGGGACAAUGCCAGGCGGGGAGUUUGACUGGGGCGGUCGCCUCCGAAAGGGUAUCGGAGGCGC
rnacentral:rRNA from 1 species